ACAGUAAUCAGCGCUCAACUUUGGUCCCAUCCCCCACAUACUUGCAUCAGAAACUACAUCUGGAGAAGGAGCAGCAGAGAAGGAGGGGCGACAGAUUUACAA